CCUGUAGUCGCAGUUGGAGAUGGAGUGCGAAUCCCGUAGGAGUCCGGAUGAAGUCUUUCUACUGCUGAAAUCAAGGACGGAGUCCAGCUCCCGUAGGAGUCCGGACGAAGUCUUCCUGUAGUCGAAGUUGGAGAUGGAGUCUGACUCCCGUAGGAGUCCAGACGAAGUCUUCCUGCUGUUGAAGUCAGGGACGGAGUCUGGCUCCCGUAGGAGUCCGGACGAAGUCUUCCUGUAGUC
rnacentral:lncRNA from 1 species